rnacentral:rRNA from 1 species
AAUAUUGCGCAAUGGUGGGAACGCUGACGCAGCGACGCCGCGUGAGCGAUGAAGGUCUNCGGAUCNUNAAGCUCUGUCCUUGGGGNCGAAGGUCUUCGGACUUGAGGGUACCUAUGGAGGAAGCCUCGGCUAACUACGUGCCAGCAGCCGCGGUAAUACGUAGGGGGCAAGCGUUGUCCGGAAUUAUUGGGCGUAAAGGGUGCGUAGGCGGCCUUUUAAGUCAGAUGUGAAAGCCCACGGCUUAACCGUGGGACUGCAUUUGAAACUGGAGGGCUUGAGUAUCGGAGAGGGUAGUGGAAUUCCCAGUGUAUCGGUGGAAUGCGUAGAUAUUGGGAGGAACACCAGUCGCGAAGGUGACUUUCUGGACUGUAACUGACGCUGAGGUACGAAAGCGUGGGUAGCGAACA